rnacentral:lncRNA from 1 species
AUGAAUUGGACACAGGCGGAACUGGACAAUUUGGACAGAAAAACAAGAAAACUCAUGACCAUUCAUCAUUCACUGCACCCUCGCAGUGAUGUUGACCGGCUCUAUCUGCCUAGAAGAUCAGGGGGCAGAGGACUCUUGCAAGUAAAACAAGCAGUCAAAGAAGAAGAACAUGCCCUGGCAGAAUAUGGAAAGCAAAGUGAAAAACCUGCUUUGAUUGAAGUCAAAAAUCAGAAACUCCUCAAAGCACAGCAGACAAAAAACCAGUACAAGAAAACCGCACUACAAACUAGAGCUGACAGCUGGCACAACAAAACAUUGCAUAGAAAGUUCCUUGACAAAAUUGAAGGAAAAGCUGAAAAGGAGAAGACCUGGCUCUGGCUCACGAAUCGGACCCUGAAGAAGGAGACAGAAGGCCUGAUCCUUGCAGCCCAGGAGCAAGACAUCAGGACAAAGGCUAAGACCAAGAUCAAAAAAUCAGCUGAUGACCCAAAAUGCAGUCUGUGCAAGGAAGCUGACGAAACCAUGGAUCAUAUCCUCAGCUGCUGUAAGAAAACCACACAGACAGACUACAAACAGAGGCACAACUAUGUGGCCCAAAUGAUUCAUUGGAACUUAUGCCUCAAGUACCACCUCCCAGCAGCAAAGAACUGGUGGGCUCACAAACCUGCAAAAGUAUUGGAAAAUGAACACGCAAAGAUACUGUGGGACUUCCGAAUCCAGACUGACAAAGUUCUGGAACACAACACACCAGACAUCACAGUUGUGGGGGAAAAAAAGGUUUGGAUGAUUGAUGUCGCCAUCCCAGGUGACAGUCGCAUUGACAAAAAACAACAGGAAAAACUCAGCCGCUAUCAGGACCUCAAGAUUGAACUUCAAAGACUCUGGCAGAAACCAGAGCAGGUGGUCCCAGUGGUGAUGGGCACACUGGGUGCCGUGCCCAAAGAUCUCAGCCGGCAUUUGGAAACAAUAGACAUUGACAAAAUUACGAUCUGCCAACAGCAAAAGGCCACCCUACUGGGAUCUGCACGCAUAAUCCGAAAAUACAUCACACAGUCCUAG